AACUUCGGCCUUCACACAUAAGACAUCAGGGAGCCAGUGGGUUAGGUUUGGGGAGGACAUGGUACUGCAAAAGAAGCACUGGAUUUCAGAGCCAAAGGAGGUUCUUCCCUUGACUUUUGGGUGAGGUCACUCUUGCUUUCUGCUUAAAACUCACUCCUACUACCAGUUUCUGGCUGAAAUGUGUGUGUAAGAGAAUUUGCUGGAAAAACAUUAGUCCAGUGAACAGGAAGAAAGACAAAAGGAGAAUGAUAAGAAUAUCACCUGUAGGGAGCGCGGCCUUCUCCUGACACCUCUAAUAACCCCACUCAAUCCUGUGAGGUUGCUGUGGACACACGUUGUGGAGGAAGCCAGCCAAGAUGGUAAAAUUCUGACUACCCUGAGAACAUGGUGCUGUGUGGAAGCCCAGCCUAGCUGCAUGGAGAGAGAAAGACAUCCAGUCAGUCACCAGCUCCUCCAGGCAUCCACAUGCAGCACCAGGCAUGAGGGUGAAGAAGCAGAUCUGAUUGUGGGCUGUGAAGGCAUGUCUCCAGAAUUGCCUCAGCAUCAGAGCUGGCUGCAAGUUUUAAAGCCAUGGGAAAGUUCGGGACCUAGAGAGAGGACUUAACACUAGACUUGGGCUGCACAAUUCAACUCGGCAACUAUGGCUCAGAUUUCAAGUGUGUACUAAACAGGUCAGCAUGGGGUCAGGAAAGAGGUCAAGGAGUCUACAGCCCAGCAAUGAAGACGAAUCUGGGAAUAGAUUCUACUCUGACUCACAGUGGAAAGUCCCAUGUGCUGUGACUAGGGAAGGACAGCUGAACUGUUGGGAUAAAUUUGAAAUAAUGACCAGAGGUUGUGCUUUUUUCCCCUUAUCUUUAAACAAACAAUAAUGAUCAUGAAAGUAGGAACUCACUGGAAAAUACAGGGAAGAUAAAGAAGAAAAUUAAAAUUAUUCAUAGUCUCCUCAUCCAGA